rnacentral:ncRNA from 1 species
AAUGGAUGGCGCUCUAGUGUCGAGCCUAUCCCCGGCCGCUGCCGGCAGAUGCACGCAAACAAGGGGGUGCUAAGCUGCAGCGAGUAGGAGGGCCGCUGCGGUGAGCGUUGAAGGUGUCGGGCGUAAGCCCGCCUGGAGCCGCCGCUGGUGCAGAUCUUGGUGGUAGUAGCAAAUACUCAAGUGAGAACCUUGAGGACUGAAGUGGAGAAGGGUUCCAUGUGAACAGCAGUUGAACAUGGGUCAGUCGGUCCUAAGGGAAAGGAGAAGUUCUUUCCGAAGCGGGAGCACUUUUUUGCAGUGGAGAGAGCCCCGCAGUGACCGAAAGGGAAUCGGGUUAAUAAUCCCGAACCCGGACACGGAGAUUGGUCCUUCGGGGCCCAGUGCGGUAACGCAAACCAGCUCGGAGACGCCGAUGCGAGCCCCGGGAAGAGUUUUCUUUUCUCUGUAAGGAGAUCGAGUCCCUGGAAUGGGUUCGCCCCGAGAUAGGGAUGGUGGCUCCGUAGAGCAGUGCGGUUCUUGCGCUGUCCGGUGCGCUCGCGUCGGCCCUUGAAAAUCCGAGUGAGGGAGUGUGAUUUUCGUGCCGGACCGUACCCACAUCCGCAGCAGGUCUCCAAGGUGAACAGCCUCUAGUCGAUGGACCAAUGUAGGUAAGGGAAGUCGGCAAAACGGAUCCGUAACCUUGGGAUAAGGAUUGGCUCUGAGGACUGAGCCGGUCGGGCUGGGGACCUGAAGCAGGAACGGCACUGCACCGGGACUGGGCGGGGCUCGCCGUUCACGCGGCGCGGCCAAGCCCGGACCAGCGUCGGGACCUUCCUGUGGAAAGCCUCAGCUGCGCGGCGUCUGAGGGCUUCGUGCCCAAAGUGCUAUGCUUCGGCCGGCAAAAAACAGUCAACUCAGAACUGGCACGGACCGGGGGAAUCCGACUGUCUAAUUAAAACAAAGCAUUGCGAUGGCCGCUGGUCGGUGUUGACGCAAUGUGAUUUCUGCCCAGUGCUCUGAAUGUCACGUGAAGAUCAUCA